GGUUAAGUGACUAAGCGUACACGGUGGAUGCCUUGGCAGUCAGAGGCGAUGAAAGACGUAGUAACUUGCGAUAAGCCCAGAUUAGGUAGUAACAACCAUUUGAGUCUGGGAUUUCUGAAUGGGGAAACCCACGUGCAUAAGCACGUAUCCUUACCUGAAUACAUAGGGUAAGGAGGCGAACCGGGGAACUGAAACAUCUAAGUACCCCGAGGAAAAGAAAUCAACCGAGAUUCCGAAAGUAGCGGCGAGCGAAAUUGGACUAGCCCUUAAGCUUUACACGCGUUAGACGAACGGUCUGGAAAGUCCGACGAUACAGGGUGAUAGUCCCGUAGUUGACGACGUGUGUUCAGUGAAAUCGAGUAGGGCGGGACACGUGAUAUCCUGUCUGAAUAUGGGGGACCAUCCUCCAAGGCUAAAUACUACUGACUGACCGAUAGUGAACCAGUACCGUGAGGGAAAGGCGAAAAGAACCCCUGUGAGGGGAGUGAAAUAGAACCUGAAACCGUGUACGUACAAGCAGUAGGAGCAGGCUUUGUCCUGUGACUGCGUACCUUUUGUAUAAUGGGUCAGCGACUUAUAUUCAGUGGCAAGGUUAACCAUCUAGGGGAGCCGUAGGGAAACCGAGUCUUAACUGGGCGUUCAGUCUCUGGAUAUAGACCCGAAACCAGGUGAUCUAGCCAUGGGCAGGUUGAAGGUUGAGUAACAUCAACUGGAGGACCGAACCGACUAAUGUUGAAAAAUUAGCGGAUGACUUGUGGCUAGGGGUGAAAGGCCAAUCAAACCUGGAGAUAGCUGGUUCUCCCCGAAAGCUAUUUAGGUAGCGCCUCGGACGAAUACUACUGGGGGUAGAGCACUGUUAAGGCUAGGGGUCAUCCCGACUUACCAACCCUUUGCAAACUCCGAAUACCAGUAAGUACUAUCCGGGAGACACACGGCGGGUGCUAACGUCCGUCGUGGAGAGGAAACAACCCAGACCGCCAGCUAAGGUCCCAAAUUACUACUAAGUGGGAAACGAUGUGGGAAGGCUCAGACAGCCAGGAUGUUGGCUUAGAAGCAGCCAUCAUUUAAAGAAAGCGUAAUAGCUCACUGGUCGAGUCGGCCUGCGCGGAAGAUGUAACGGGGCUAAGUAGUAAACCGAAGCUGCGGCAAUGCACUUUAGUGCAUUGGGUAGGGAGCGUUCUGUAAGCGGUUGAAGGUGUGUGGUAACGCAUGCUGGACGUAUCAGAAGUGCGAAUGCUGACAUGAGUAACGAUAAAGGGGGUGAAAAACCUCCUCGCCGGAAGACCAAGGGUUCCUGUCCAACGUUAAUCGGGGCAGGGUAAGUCGACCCCUAAGGCGAGGCCGAAAGGCGUAGUCGAUGGGAAACGGGUUAAUAUUCCCGUACUUCUUACAAUUGCGAUGGGGGGACGGAGAAGGCUAGGUGGGCCUGGCGACGGUUGUCCAGGUUCAAGUGCGUAGGCUUAAGAGUUAGGUAAAUCCGGCUCUUUCUAAGGCUGAGACACGACGUCGAGCACCUACGGGUGUGAAGUCAUUGAUGCCAUGCUUCCAGGAAAAGCCUCUAAGCUUCAGAUUGUAAGGAAUCGUACCCCAAACCGACACAGGUGGUCGGGUAGAGAAUACCAAGGCGCUUGAGAGAACUCGGGUGAAGGAACUAGGCAAAAUGGUACCGUAACUUCGGGAGAAGGUACGCUCUUGAUGGUGAAGUCCCUCGCGGAUGGAGCUGACGAGAGUCGCAGAUACCAGGUGGCUGCAACUGUUUAUUAAAAACACAGCACUGUGCAAAAUCGUAAGAUGACGUAUACGGUGUGACGCCUGCCCGGUGCCGGAAGGUUAAUUGAUGGGGUUAGACUUCGGUCGAAGCUCUUGAUCGAAGCCCCGGUAAACGGCGGCCGUAACUAUAACGGUCCUAAGGUAGCGAAAUUCCUUGUCGGGUAAGUUCCGACCUGCACGAAUGGCGUAAUGAUGGCCACGCUGUCUCCACCCGAGACUCAGUGAAAUUGAAAUCGCUGUGAAGAUGCAGUGUACCCGCGGCUAGACGGAAAGACCCCGUGAACCUUUACUACAGCUUGGCACUGAACAUUGACCCUACAUGUGUAGGAUAGGUGGGAGGCUUUGAAGCACGUACGCCAGUAUGUGUGGAGCCGUCCUUGAAAUACCACCCUUGUAGUGUUGAUGUUCUAACGUCGACCCCUUAUCGGGGUUGCGGACAGUGCCUGGUGGGUAGUUUGACUGGGGCGGUCUCCUCCCAAAGAGUAACGGAGGAGCACGAAGGUGGGCUAAUCACGGUUGGACAUCGUGAGGUUAGUGCAAUGGCAUAAGCCCGCUUGACUGCGAGAAUGACAAUUCGAGCAGGUGCGAAAGCAGGUCAUAGUGAUCCGGUGGUUCUGAAUGGAAGGGCCAUCGCUCAACGGAUAAAAGGUACUCCGGGGAUAACAGGCUGAUACCGCCCAAGAGUUCAUAUCGACGGCGGUGUUUGGCACCUCGAUGUCGGCUCAUCACAUCCUGGGGCUGAAGUCGGUCCCAAGGGUAUGGCUGUUCGCCAUUUAAAGUGGUACGCGAGCUGGGUUUAGAACGUCGUGAGACAGUUCGGUCCCUAUCUCGCCGUGGGCGUUGGAAGAUUGAAGGGGGCUGCUCCUAGUACGAGAGGACCGGAGUGGACGAACCUCUGGUGUUCGGGUUGUGUCGCCAGACGCAUUGCCCGGUAGCUAAGUUCGGAAUCGAUAACCGCUGAAAGCAUCUAAGCGGGAAGCGAGCCCUGAGAUGAGUCUUCCCUGAUACUUUAAGUAUCCUAAAGGGUUGUCGGAGACUACGACGUUGAUAGGUCAGGUGUGUAAGUGCUGUGAGGCAUUGAGCUAACUGAUACUAAUUGCCCGUGAGGCUUAACCAU
rnacentral:rRNA from 1 species